rnacentral:rRNA from 1 species
CCUACGGGUGACAGCAGUGAGGAAUAUUGGUCAAUGGACGAGAGUCUGAACCAGCCAAGUAGCGUGAAGGAUGACUGCCCUAUGGGUUGUAAACUUCUUUUAUAUGGGAAUAAAAUGUUCCACGUGUGGGAUUUUGUAUGUACCAUAUGAAUAAGGAUCGGCUAACUCCGUGCCAGCAGCCGCGGUAAUACGGAGGAUCCGAGCGUUAUCCGGAUUUAUUGGGUUUAAAGGGAGCGUAGGUGGAUUGUUAAGUCAGUUGUGAAAGUUUGCGGCUCAACCGUAAAAUGGCAGUUGAAACUGGCAGUCUUGAGUACAGUAGAGGUGGGCGGAAUUCGUGGUGUAGCGGUGAAAUGCUUAGAUAUCACGAAGAACUCCGAUUGCGAAGGCAGUUCACUGGACUGCAACUGACACUGAGGCUCGAAAGUGUGGGUAUCAAACAGGAUUAGAUACCCUUGUAGUC